AUACAAUGAUGAUCACAUAGUUCAGCAGAUGGAACAGUGGUGAACUGUCUUUCGCUCCUAGCUGAUGUAUCU
rnacentral:snoRNA from 1 species